AGAGUUUGAUCAUGGCUCAGAUUGAACGCUGGCGGCAUGCCUAACACAUGCAAGUCGAACGGCAGCACGGCAGUAGCAAUACUGUGGGUGGCGAGUGGCGGACGGGUGAGGAAUACGUCGGAAUCUGCCCAGUCGUGGGGGAUAACUAGCCGAAAGGUUAGCUAAUACCGCAUACGCACGAGAGUGGAAAGUAGGGGAUCGCAAGACCUCGCGCGAUUGGAGCGGCCGAUAUCAGAUUAGGUAGUUGGUGGGGUAAAAGCCCACCAAGCCGACGAUCUGUAGCUGGUCUGAGAGGAUGAUCAGCCACACUGGAACUGAGACACGGUCCAGACUCCUACGGGAGGCAGCAGUGGGGAAUAUUGGACAAUGGGCGCAAGCCUGAUCCAGCAAUGCCGCGUGUGUGAAGAAGGCCUUCGGGUUGUAAAGCACUUUUAUCAGGAACGAAAAGCGUUGGAUUAAUACCCUGACGUGCUGACGGUACCUGAGGAAUAAGCACCGGCUAACUUCGUGCCAGCAGCCGCGGUAAUACGAAGGGUGCAAGCGUUAAUCGGAAUUACUGGGCGUAAAGCGUGCGUAGAUGGUUCGCUAAGUCGGAUGUGAAAGCCCCGGGCUCAACCUGGGAACUGCAUCCGAUACUGGCGGACUAGAGUGUAAUAGAGGAUGGCGGAAUUCCCGGUGUAGCG
rnacentral:rRNA from 1 species